CUUUCCCAACCAGCUGCCAUUGGGAAAAAUCCUCCUCUGGGAUUAAUACCUUCAAGAACAGGACUACCCAGAGCAAUACGGUGUACAAAGAAAGGCUCCCCUUGGGGAUCUCCUUCUCAUUGAUUCCACUAACCCUGGAGCCUGCACUGAGAAUGAAGGCCUGUCUGCUCCUCUGGAACACAACUCUCAAUAUCAAUCAGUUCCUGGACUCAGCUCCUCCUGUUCAUCCUUCAUUAUAACCGAAGACCCACUAGGAGAGAUAUCAAUGAUGCCAAUAACAAAAGCUCCGCCUGCUAUAUCAUCUUCACCAUGCCAAGCUUGGUGCUCUGACAUAUGAAGGUCUUCUAGUGGAGCAUUCCACUGCCUUAUCCCUCCAAAGCGUCUAAAAUCCUAGGUGUGGGUAGGCUGCAUCAUGGAAUGGGAAGGAAAGAGCU